rnacentral:lncRNA from 1 species
UAAAAACUCAUACAACAAAGUAAUUUAGAAAUAUUAAAAAGAAAUUUUUAGACUGGGUAUGGUGUCUCAUGCCUAUAAUCCCAGCACUUUGGGAGACCAAGGCAGGAGGAUGGCUGGAGCCCAGGAGUUCAAGACCAGCCUGGGCAACAUGGGGAAACCCUGUCUCCACAAAAAAGACAAAAAAAAAAAAAUUGGCCGGGCAUGGUGGCAUGCACCUGUAGUCCCAGCUACUCAAGAAGCUGAAGUGGGAAGAUUAUCUGAGCCUGCAGAGGUGGAGGGUCUUUACUAACAAUACAAAAAUUAGCCAAGUGUAGUGGCACACGCCUGUAAUCUCAGCUACUUGGGAGGUUGAGGCAGGAGAAUCGCUUGAACCCAGAGGCAGAAGUUGCAGUGAGCCGGGAUCAUGCCACUACACCCCAGCCUGGGCGACAGAGCGAGACUCCAUCUCAAAAGAAAAAAAAAAGAAAAAAAAAAAAAAGGGAAUUCAAGACCAGCCUGGCCAACAUGGUGAAACUGUCUCUACUAAAAAUACAAAAAUUAGCCAGAGGUGGUGGUGCAUGCCUGUUGUCCCAGCGACUGGGGAGUCUGAGGCAGGAGAAUCGCUUGAACCCGGGAGGUGGA